GAAGUUGUAUUUUAAUUGAUCUUUGUGAUUGAUUUUACCAUCAAACAAGGCAGAUGGGGAGAGAGAGGAAGCACUUGAGGUAGGUUUGCUAUGAAAAGUCAAUGUGUCUCUACUGUAACCCUGCUUUUUCCGAUGCUGAAUUUCUCUGUGUCCAGCAUAGCCAGGCCUUUUGUCAAAUUCUAUUCAGAUUUAUAGCUGAGAAAUCAUUUUUAAGCAAACGCAUAUGGCCUUCCACCCCAGAACCACUAGCCAGUCCCCACAGAAGGCUGAAAAUCAGAUCGCAUCUCCAUCAGCCAGGGGCUUUGAUGCAGAGCAGUCCAGCCUAGGCUGCUGCAAUGAGGGACAUUUCUCUCCUCACAGUUAAGAGUGUGCUGGCCUGAAUCUGACCUCGAUCCUGAUGGCUCAAGCAUUUAGUGCUUGUUUCACGGUGGUGACACUAUGUGGGGAGGCUGUGUCACCUUUAGGAUGUGGGGCCCAGCUGGCAGCAGAAGUCAGUCAUUCACUUCGGGGGAGGGUAUUAUGCCUGCCCUCUUCCUGCCUGGCUCUCUGCUUCCUGACACCAUGGUACAUAAACACCCACCGCCACCACACGGCCAUCUCAGUGAACACAUGUGUCCCACCAAAAUGAACUGAAAUGCUUUCAAAUCACAAGCCAAGACAAAUCUCUCCUCUCCAGAGUUGUUUCUGACAAUGUUGAUUACGGUGUCGUGAAAGUAAGGCAGGGCCCCGCAUGGUGGCCCACACUUGGAAUCCCAAAAAGUGUUCUGGAGGCAGAGGCAGAGGCAGAAGGAUGGCUGCCAGCUGUCAUCCAUGCAGGAAAUCAUCCAUGUAGGAUGGAGCGGAAGUGUCUGAGUGAGCAGAGCACAGGGUCUACCUGCCAGAUACUGGUGAGCAGAUCUCAGCUGCUACAGAUAACCCACUGAUCCAACGACUGCACCGAGUGAGAGCCCUCCCCUGUAGAACCUGUCCUUCGUGUCACUUCAUCAAAGCUGUUUUGCCACCACCCAAAUGUCACAUGUUCUGCAAAUGCUGAGAAGAAACCAGCUGGACAAGUGGGCAAGUCUGGCUGGCCAGCAAACCCCACGGAUCUGCCUGUCUUCGCCUCCCUAGCACUGAGAUUAUAAGUGGGUGCCACCAUGCCCAGCUUUUUGGAGAGCUGAGAUGGGCUUGGCCCAGAGCCCAGGCUUGCUGGUGAAGUGGAGCAUUCCCUGAAACCUGAGCCGAACAACACCUGGCAGAGAGCAUAUCUUUGUACGCAGACUAGUUUGUAAAACGUGGUUUACGAUGCAGCUGAAAGAGCAAGAUGGCCCGGAAAUAUUUCACUCUUCUAAGAAAGCUGGUUGCGCCUUUAGUGUCUGCUGCCUCCCUAGCGCUCGGUCACCACUCAGCCGCUACACUGGGGGCAUCUCAGGGACCACCAGGACCACCAACCACUGCUAUGCCCCUUGCAGAUCAUAGGACCUUGCCCAGUAUGCCUUGCCCCUACCAUGACCCCCAGGACCCCAGCUUGAGUAUGCCGGCAGGGAGGAGGCGUGUCCCCUACAGUCCCUGAUGGAAAUAUAAAAAUGAGGACCAGGAAUGUAGCCCAGUGCUAGAGCACUUGCCUCGUACCGCCUGAACCACUAGGAUGGAUUUCCCAUACCACAAUAAAUAAAUGUGCAAAUAAAAAUACACAGAAACA